rnacentral:rRNA from 1 species
AGUCGAACGAGAAAGCACUUUCGGGUGCGAGUAAAGUGGCGGACGGCGGAGUAACGCGUAGGGAUUUACCUGGUAGUGGGGGACAACUCGAGGAAACUCGAGCUAAUACCGCAUACGCUCCAAGGAGGAAAGUGGGGGACCUUCGGGCCUCACGCUAUUAGAGAAACCUGCGUUAGAUUAGCUUGUUGGUGGGGUAAUGGCCUACCAAGGCGACGAUCUAUAGCUGGUCUGAGAGGACGAUCAGCCCGACUGGAACUGAGACACGGUCCAGACAGCUACGGUUGGCAGCAGGUGGGAAUAUUGGUCAAUGGGCGCAAGCCUGAACCAGCGAUGCCGCGUGUGCGAAGAAGGCCCUAGGGUUGUAAAGCACUUUCAGUCGUGAAGAAAACCUGAUGAUUAAUAAUCAUCGGUCUUGACGUUAGCGACAGAAGAAGAUCCGGCUAACUCCGUGCCAGCAGCCGCGGUAAUACGGAGGGAUCGAACGCUAAUCGGAAUUACUGGGCGUAAAAGCGCGCGUAGGCGGUUUCGAUAAGUGGAGUGUGAAAUCCCUGGGCUCAACCUGGGAACUGCAUUCCAAACUGUUGGACUAGAGUAUGGGUAGA